rnacentral:sRNA from 1 species
CAAGUUGGCAUUUUUUCUAGAACUUGAUCGUCCACUAGCCCAGAGUGUGUGUGUUCAACCCCCACACCAGGUGGUGGUAGGCGGUGUGACUGCACAUCGAGGUGCUGGAUCUGUGAGCAGGCCGACUCCACGCCCACGCCGCAGGAUCUCUGCUGUCUCUUGGAUCCCAUCUGCCUAGAUGGAAGAGGAUCCUAUUGGAAGCUAGGAUAAAUGUUGUCUUAGUCCUCUGCUAUGUUCUCCCAGAAAAAAUUCAUUACAAGUUCUCUGCUGUGGUUGCUGCAGCUCCAGGAAGCCCCCGCAGUGUCUCACGUUGUCUUUGACCAGUGGUCCCCAGUACCAGGCCAGAGAAGACAACUUUAUAAUGUCAUUUGUGUUGUGAAAAUUCUUCCACUGACCCAAAAUGGAACCGUACAAAGCCUAUCCGUGUAUAUGGAAAAGUCUCAUCCACUUGGAUUAACUCAGAAAAAGUAAAGUCCUGAAACUA